UACGAGGGGGGCGAGCGUUGUUCGGAAUUAUUGGGCGUAAAGGGUGCGUAGGCGGUUCUGCAAGUCCUGUGUGAAAUCUUCGGGCUCAACUCGAAGUCUGCACGGGAAACUGCGGGGCUUGAGUCCGGAAGAGGAGAGUGGAAUUCCUGGUGUAGCGGUGAAAUGACGCAGAUAUCAGGAAGAACACCCCGUGGCUAAGGCGGCUCUCUAGUACGGUACUGACGCUGAGACGCGAAAGCGUGGGGAGCGAACAGG
rnacentral:rRNA from 1 species